CUUUCUUUGCUUUAUAUGAUGAGGAACGUAGUUUAUAUUCCAUGCUAAUCAUGAAAUAUGGGUCGCAGACUUCUGCGCCAUUGUGAUUAGAAAAACUAAUGCUCACUGACUAUCAAAAGCGAAGGGGAUCUU